AGAAACUUAGGUUAAACAUCAAACCAAGAGCCUUCAAAGCCCCAAACAGAGGAUAAAAACCCCUAGCUUC
rnacentral:tRNA from 1 species